UUUUUUACCUUAUAACUUUAAUUAUCAGACAUGACAACUUUUCUCUCAUAUCUCUCUCUCUCUCUCUCUCUCUCUCUCACCUCCUACUACUGCCAACGACCACCACCAUCGCCGGCACCACCGUCCUCGUCGUCGUCGGAAUACAACGAUCUUCAGAUCUGGAGCUGCCGCCUUCAGAUCUAAAACAUCCACCUUCAGAUCUGGUGCAUUCGCCUUCAGAUCUAGAACCCCUGACUUCAGAUCUGCCAUUACCACCGAGCGUCACCUCCUUCUACCGCCAUCUAUCUCAUUAACACCGACUAUCGCCUUCCAUCAGCCGCUUUGCUUUGCUGGAACACCUAGAAAACACUACACUCUAUUUUCAAAUUUGAAUAUGCUUCUUCUCCAAAUCUCCAACGUUUCAAAUUUGAUGAAGCACGAGAAAAACUCUUCGAUCUGCUUCGCCGGAAUAACAGAUGUGACAGAGUAUGGAGCUCUUUUUCGCCUCCAAAUGUCCUACCACCUCCAGAUCUACUUCUUUAUACAAACUACCACUGGAGACCUCCUUUAUCUUUAUUUACACCAGAUCAAUUUAGAUCUGAUGUAGAUCUGAGAAUUUGGUGUUAUUAUACAAAGGUUUUUCUUUCUAUUUCAUCAUUCCAUCGUUGGAUCUACAUCAAAUAUGUUCCCCCACCGUUGGUGUCGUUGUCGGAGCAUCAAAAAUCGCAAAUCGCAGUCCUCAUCUCAACCUACAGGUUAGAUCUGGUGUGUGUAUGGUGUUUACAUUGAUGGUGCUUACAAAAGGAAGUUCUGAAAAAAAGAUGCACACAAGGUGUUUUAUGAAAUGCCUCAAUAAAAUUUGGUGGUUGGUGGCAGUGUGUGGUGGUAGUAGUAAUAGAGUUUGAAUUUUUGAUUUCUUUGAGUUUGUGAAUUAUUAUAAAAUGGGUUGUACUAAGUUGUGAAUUUUGUGAAUUAAACUAUAAAUGGACUGUAUAAACUUGUAACUUAUAUAAGUUGUGUGUUCAAAUAUGAGAGUAUAUAAAAUGAAAAUGUUAUACUGUAAAUAUUACAA